GGUAAUACGGAGGGUGCAAGCGUUAAUCGGAAUUACUGGGCGUAAAGCGCACGCAGGCGGUCUGUCAAGUCGGAUGUGAAAUCCCCGGGCUCAACCUGGGAACUGCAUUCGAAACUGGCAGGCUUGAGUCUUGUAGAGGGGGGUAGAAUUCCAGGUGUAGCGGUGAAAUGCGUAGAGAUCUGGAGGAAUACCGGUGGCGAAGGCGGCCCCCUGGACAAAGACUGACGCUCAGGUGCGAAAGCGUGGGGAGCAAACAGGAUUAGAUACCCUGGUAGUCCACGCCGUAAACGAUGUCUACUUGGAGGUUGUGCCCUUGAGGCGUGGCUUCCGGAGCUAACGCGUUAAGUAGACCGCCUGGGGAGUACGGCCGCAAGGUUAAAACUCAAAUGAAUUGACGGGGGCCCGCACAAGCGGUGGAGCAUGUGGUUUAAUUCGAUGCAACGCGAAGAACCUUACCUGGUCUUGACAUCCACAGAAUUCUGCAGAGAUGCGGAAGUGCCUUCGGGAACUGUGAGACAGGUGCUGCAUGGCUGUCGUCAGCUCGUGUUGUGAAAUGUUGGGUUAAGUCCCGCAACGAGCGCAACCCUUAUCCUUUGUUGCCAGCGAUUAGG
rnacentral:rRNA from 1 species